rnacentral:rRNA from 1 species
AUUUUGGAGAGUUUGAUCCUGGCUCAGAGUGAACGCUGGCGGCGUGGAUUAGGCAUGCAAGUCGAGCGAAUCCGCAAGGAUUAGCGGCAAACGGGUGAGUAACACGUAAGUAAUCUUCCUUAAAGUCGGGCAAAGCGCCGUGAAAACGGCGGUAAUUUUCGAUGUGGAUAAAGAAUCGCAUGGUUUUUUAUCUAAAGAUGGGGACCUUCGGGCCUGUCGCUUUAAGAUGAGCUUGCGUCCUAUCAGCUUGUUGGUGGGGUAAUGGCCUACCAAGGCAUUUGACGGGUAGCUGGUCUGAGAGGAUGGUCAGCCACACUGGGACUGAGACACUGCCCAGACUCCUACGGGAGGCUGCAGUCGAGAAUCUUUCACAAUGGACGAAAGUCUGAUGAUGCGACGCCGCGUGCAGGAUGAAGGUCUUCGGAUUGUAAACUGCUUUUAUUAGGAAAGAAACCUAUACGGUUAAUAACCGUAUAGCUGACGGUACCUAAAGAAUAAGCCACGGCCAACUCCGUGCCAGCAGCCGCGGUAAUACGGAGGUGGCAAGCGUUACUCGGAAUUAUUGGGUGUAAAGGGCAAGUAGGCGGUCUAAUAAGCGAGGGGUGAAAUCUACCGGCUCAAUCGGUAAACUGCCUUUCGAACUAUUAGACUUGAGGCUGAAAGAGGGAAACGGAAUUAGCAGUGUAAGGGUGAAAUCUGUAGAUAUUGCUAAGAACACCAGCGGCGAAGGCGGUUUCCUGGUUCAGCUCUGACGCUAAAUUGCGAAAGCUAGGGUAGCAAACAGAAUUAGAUACUCUGGUAGUCCUAGCUGUAAACGAUGAGUACUAGGUGUUGGC